rnacentral:rRNA from 1 species
GACGAACGCUGGCGGCGUGCUUAACACAUGCAAGUCGAACGGACAGGCCCUGCUUUUGUGGGGUGCUCGAUUGGCGAACGGGUGAGUAACACGUGAGUAACCUGCCCUUGACUUUGGGAUAACUUCAGGAAACUGGGGCUCAUACCGGAUAGGAGCUCCUGCUGCAUGGUGGGGGUUGGAAAGUUUCGGCGGUUGGGGAUGGACUGGCGGCUUAUCAGCUUGUUGGUGGGGUAGUGGCUUACCAAGGCUUUGACGGCUAGCCCGCCUGAGAGGGUGACCGGCCACAUUGGGCCUGAGAUAGGGCCCAGACUCCUACGGGAGGCAGCAGUGGAGAGUCUUGCACAAUGGGCGGAAGCGUGAGGUAGCAGCGCCGCGUGCGGGAUGACGGCCUUCGGGUUGUAAACCGCUUUCGCCUGUGACGAAGCGUGAGUGACGGUAAUGGGUAAAGAAGCACCGGCUAACUACGUG